rnacentral:misc_RNA from 1 species
CUACCGAACUUAGGGGUGUUACAAAUCUUAUAUUUAUGACAAGAAGAAAUUCUUGAUAUUUUAGAUUUUGGCAUUGUACAGAAGAAAUCAACUUGUGUUCACGUCCAUAUAGAUCAUUAUUAUAGUGCAUCUAAUUCACUGAAGAAAUAGUGAUUGGCUUUCCAAAAAAAGAAAAAUUAUGCAUUUUCCUAGGAUAUUCUUUCAGUAAAUUUCUAACAGAGUCUAAUCAAAUCAUAAAAUCUCACCCUAACUAAAAGCAAUAAGCAAUUGAUAAGAAUCCAAAUUGGAAGCCAACCAAUCCAUGUCAGUGAAAAUGCACAAAAGCUAGCAGGUGUCAUCCCAUCCUUUGUCACAAGUAAUGUCUAAGUUAUUAAUUAACUUAUCAAACCAACCAAUACAGCAUCAACUCCAAACCCACAGCCUGGGCAACAUAAAUAACAACUUUUUGUAUAAUGAUUGUCAUCCCAUCAAAAUUCAUGCAAACAUUUGCAGAUUUAAACUAAACUCUACAGAAGGGAUCGUUUACUUGAGCAAGCACAGAAGAUAGAGAGAGCAUAUAUCGGCAACACUCAGAACACAAUAAUAAUCUAUUGGCGCAUUGACUUUUCAAACAAUAAGAUAGCUCAUUCCAAAAUGAAUAAAACAACAUGAGGCACGUUUGAUAUAGAACUUGUAAACUUGUGAUGACUAAACCACAAAAUUACACUCCAAUGUGAUAGGGGGAUCUACCAGUAAGUAAAUUAAGGAUAAGAUUUAAAUUUUGGAUGUCCUUGUAACAACAUAAUUAACUAAAAUUGUUUCGCUCGAUGAGGUAUCUAGACUUGAACAAUUUGUUUCAGUCCAAGCAUUUCCUAAGCAGCAGCAAACAAAUUUUGAAACAGAAACGACUCCAUUCAAUUAUUGAAUUUCGUUUUCUCAAUUUCUCAUACAAAAACAGUAAUGUCCCCCCAAAACCCUAAUUUAUUUGAAUCCUUAGCCAGAUCAUAACAGUACCAAAAAACAGCACAUAUCCAUAGUGAUAAACCAAAUCAUACGCGAAUUUCUCAACGGUGCAAACAACAAGAAACUCAAUCAAAAUGGAUCUAGAAUAACGCAUCAAUCACAAGAAAUCUAAAGGCGGUUAAGAUGAUGCAGACCUGCAGUACUCUUGUGGAGCUUG